GGUGGAUGUCCUUUAUUUAUUUGUUUGUUAUUUUCCAGAGAUUUAACUUUAGUUCAAAGUUUACUAUGUGAUUAUAAAUAAAGUAGUUCAGUCUGUUUAUUAAUUAUUAUGAUUAUGAAUGAUGAGGAAGUAAAAUUAAUUGGAAUGAAAAAAAAAAACCAGAGACGGAUAUCUAUCGAUUGUUGUUGGCUUUUGUGUUUUGCAGCAGUAAAUAGCUAUCAUCAGGUUUUUUGGAGUUCAAAAUCGGCAUUGCUAUUUGUAGUUUUGGAUGUCGAAAUAAAUGAAAGGAGUUUCGCGAUUUACCCGUUGCUCGUUACAGAGGAUUUGAAGCAGCGGUAGAGCUCCCAGGUCCUGUAAAUGGACGCAUACUCCUCCGGAGAAGAACUUUUAAUUAAG
rnacentral:lncRNA from 1 species